GUCUUCUGGAUGAAAGCUACUUCUUGAGAAGGUGUGUUCUAUAGCUGGAGACUCUACUGCUAGUUGAACUCUGUGCUCUAGAGAGACUGAGGAAAUGGAUCACUGAGGAUCAAGCUACUCUACAACGAGUUUUGCAUGACUAUUUGAAAUGUGUCAAAGCAAGGCGAACAUAGACUGUUACCCAGUCACAUCCUUGCAAUUCUGAAGAAAAUGCUCUGGCAGCUGGAUCUGGUGAAUCUUGGGCUGUGCUGUUAACUCAGUCCAGAGGGACAAUGUUCUCUAAAGAUUUUGCAGGCAAUCUCUAGCUGGCAUUUUCACCUCUUACUAGUGACUGUGAAUUACAAUAUUAGUAGGCUUUAGAAAAACUUCGAUGAAAUACGUGUUUUUUUUAACUAUAGUUCUGAUCAUCUUUAUAUAACUAGAGAAAGAAUAGUUGAGUAGCUGUGGAAAGGGAGAAAGCUUCUCUUUAACAGUCCUAGAGAACAAACAACAUUAUCUGUUUUUUCUUGCCCAGUUGUUACAGCCUGAUCAAUACAAUUUAAUAUUUUGCUGAAUAUGUCUAGUUUUAAAAAAAAAAAAAAAAAAAAAGUAAAUAGGUUUCCUUGGGUGAGGAUUAGCUGUGUUCCCUUGCUGCAUGCAUGUUUGCUUCUAGCAGUACACAUCUGAACUUGUGGUUAACAAACACAUAGUGCCUGUGCUAGUUCCAUUCUGCACUAUGUUAAGUGAAAAGUAAAUUUUAUAGCUGAGAGCUACCAAAUACUGCAGUACUAAUCCCUAAGACUGUGUGGCUCAAUAAAUAAGAGUUUAAUGAAAAAGAUGCUGCAAGGGACUUAUUUUUUUGUUCCACAUUUGUUAUGAGCUGUAAAAAUCCAGCAAAACAAAAACCAAGACAGAAUAAUAAAUGUUAUAACAACUUUUCCUUUUAUUCUUAAGUGUUCAGUAUUUAUGACGUUGAUUUUUCUAUCACCAUGGCAAUCACUGGAAAAUAUGACAGCAUCUGAAAACAAUAUAAAUAUUUAUUUGCAUGUAAUGUUUUAUCUGGAAGCCACUGCUAUCCAGAGGAAAAGAUUAAGUACCUAUUUAUUCCAACUUCUGCAGAUGUUCAAUUUGUUUGCUUUUAUUUAUGUAUGUAUUCUUCUUUUUUAUACUGGUAGAUGUAUUGAUAUACUACAGGUUCAGAUAAUUCUUCACUUUUGCCCAGGUAAUUGUGCAUUAUAUGAUUUAUUGUAUUGUUAACACCAUUUUCCUCUGUCCUAGUUUAUUAGGCCAUAUUUAAGUAAUAUAUGUGCACAUCUGAUAUCAAUCCAAGUGAAGUCUGAAUCCAGAUUUAGAUGUGA